rnacentral:rRNA from 1 species
GGCUGUCGUCAGCUCGUGUUGUGAAAUGUUGGGUUAAGUCCCGCAACGAGCGCAACCCUUAUCCUUGUUUGCCAGCGAGUAAUGUCGGGAACUCCAGGGAGACUGCCGGUGAUAAACCGGAGGAAGGUGGGGACGACGUCAAGUCAUCAUGGCCCUUACGAGUAGGGCUACACACGUGCUACAAUGGCGCAUACAGAGGGCAGCCAACUUGCGAGAGUGAGCGAAUCCCAAAAAGUGCGUCGUAGUCCGGAUCGGAGUCUGCAACUCGACUCCGUGAAGUCGGAAUCGCUAGUAAUCGUG